ACCCUGGUGGUCUAGUGUCUAAGACUCUGCACUCCCAGUGCAAGGGGCAUGGGUUCGAUCCUUGGUCAGGGUA
rnacentral:tRNA from 1 species